rnacentral:lncRNA from 1 species
GGAAACCACAACUAGCCUAUGCAGAAAGGCCACUUGCAGAGGCCACGUGUAGGUAUUUCAGCUAACAAGCCCCGCUAAACUCUCAGCUGACAGCUAGAACCAAUUUGCCAGCCACGUGAAGGAGCUCUCUUAAGGAGCGAAGCUUAAGUCCCAGCCAGACCAUCCUGUCUGACAUUACACAGAGCCGGGGAGUCUUCCUUGCUGAACCCUGCCCAAACUGCAGACCUCUUCCAGUUGUUGAGGGUUGCCAGACCUAUCAUUUUCCCAAAGAGGUGGAUCUCAGUCAGCACCUAGUUUCCACUGAUUGGAAACCAGACCUUCAGGCAACAGCUUGGAUAGAACAUUUUGGUGAAGGCCAGAAUUAA